rnacentral:rRNA from 1 species
GACGAACGCUGGCGGCGUGCCUAAUACAUGCAAGUAGAACGCUCACUUUAUACCUUGCUUCUCCGCAUGAUUUUCUAUCGGUUGCGUAACGCUUAGGUAACCUUCCUGGUAGCGCGUGCUAACUCUUGGUAACUAUAGCUAAUACCGCAUAACAGUACAUGUUGCAUAUCAUUUUCUUAAAAUUUUCUAUUUCAUCACUACCAGAUGUUCCUGCGUUGUAUUAGCUAGUUGGUAAUGUAACGGCUCAACAAGGCGAAGAUACAUAUCCGACCGGAGAGGGUGAUCGGCCAAAAGGGGAAUGAGACACGGCACAGACUCCUACGGGAGGCAGCAGGAGGGAAGCUUCGGAAAUGGACGGAAGUAUGACCGAGCAACGCCGCGUGAGUGAAGAAGGUUUUCGGAUCGUAAAGCUCUGUUGUAAGAGAAGAACGAGUGGGAGAGUGGAAAGUUCACACUGUGACGGUAACUAACCAGAAAGGGACGGCUAACUACGUG